rnacentral:rRNA from 1 species
AUUGAACGCUGGCGGCAUGCUUUACACAUGCAAGUCGAACGGUAACAGGCCGCAAGGUGCUGACGAGUGGCGAACGGGUGAGUAAUGCAUCGGAACGUGCCCAGUCGUGGGGGAUAACGCAGCGAAAGCUGUGCUAAUACCGCAUACGAUCUAUGGAUGAAAGCGGGGGACCGUAAGGCCUCGCGCGAUUGGAGCGGCCGAUGUCAGAUUAGGUAGUUGGUGGGGUAAAGGCUCACCAAGCCAACGAUCUGUAGCUGGUCUGAGAGGACGACCAGCCACACUGGGACUGAGACACGGCCCAGACUCCUACGGGAGGCAGCAGUGGGGAAUUUUGGACAAUGGGCGCAAGCCUGAGCCAGCAAUGCCGCGUGCAGGAAGAAGGCCUUCGGGUUGUAAACUGCUUUUGUACGGAACGAAAAGGUUUGGGUUAAUACCCUGGGCCGAUGACGGUACCGUAAGAAUAAGCACCGGCUAACUACGUGCCAGCAGCCGCCGUAAUAC